AUACGUAGGGGGCGAGAGUUGUCUGGAAUGAUUGGGCGUAAAGGUCGCGCAGGCGGCCCGGUAAGUCUGGAGUGAAAGAACUGGUUUUAAGGGGGGAAUUCCUUUGGAUACUGUCGGGCUUGAGUGUAGGAGAGGUAAGUGGAACUCCCUGUGUAGCGGUGAAAAGCGUAGAGAUUGGGAGGAACACCAGUGGCGAAGGCGACUUACUGGACUGUAACUGACGAUGAGGCGCGAAACUGUGGGGAGCAAACAGGAUUAGAUCCCCUGGUAGUCCACACUGUAAACGAUGAAUGCUAGGUGUAGGGGGUAUCGACCCCUUCUGUGCCGCAGUCAACACAAUAAGCAUUCCGCCUGGGGAGUACGGCCGCAAGGUUGAAACUCAAAGGAAUUGACGGGG
rnacentral:rRNA from 1 species